rnacentral:rRNA from 1 species
AAAAACAUAACCUUUAGCCAAACAAAUAUUAAAGGCAACGCCUGCCCAGUGAACAAUUAAACGGCCGCGGUACCCUAACCGUGCAAAGGUAGCGUAAUCACUUGUCUAUUAAUUGUAGACCCGUAUGAAAGGCAUAAUGAGGGUCUGUCUGUCUCUUAUAAUAAAUCAAUUAAACUGAUCUUCUAGUAAAAAAGCUAGAAUAUAUACACAAGACCAGAAGACCCUGUGAAGCUUAAACUAAACUAUUAAAUCUUAUAAUACUUACUUUCGGUUGGGGCGACCUUGGAAAAAAAAAGAACUUCCAAAUAUAUGACCAUAACCCACAUCCAGGCCCACAAGCCUUAUAUAGACCCAGUACAGCUGAUAAUUGAACCAAGUUACUCCAGGGAUAACAGCGCCAUCUUCUUCAAGAGUCCAUAUCAAAAAGAAGGUUUACGACCUCGAUGUUGGAUCAGGACAUCCUAAUGGUGCAGCCGCUAUUAAGGGUUCGUUUGUUCAACGAUUAAUAGUCCUACGUGAU